GUUAGAGAAGGUGUGCUGGGAAGCACAAGGUUGUUGGUUCGAUUCCAGGCUGCCCCAUAUUCCAUGUCGAAGUGUCCCUGAGCAAGACACCUAACCCCUAAUUGCUCCCCGGGCAAACAUGUGAAAAAGCCAUGGGUUUAAAGUGUAAUGUAAGUCGCUUUGGAUAAAAGCGUCUGCUAAAUGACAUGUAAUGUAACAUAGAGAUGAACUUUAAUGUUCAUUUUCAUAGAUUCUGAAGUGUUUUAAUGAGAACUGCAUAUUGGAGAAAAUCCCUUUUGGGGACGUAUGUUUAAAAUGUCUCAUGGUUGGAAAUGUUUCAUUCAAUGUGUAGGUAUUUUAAAGGAGCUCCGUCAACUUUCGAUGAGCUGCAUCUACCUCUGGAAUAACCUGGAUGACACGCUGGUGAUGAGUCCUCUCUGCCUGUUGCGGUUCCCGUAAAGUUGUGUGGGUAACAUUAGAUCUAGUCCACGGUUACGUUUUUAGAAGCAAUUUAUUCCAUUCUUGACAUGCAACAGGUCCCGGUAGGUAUAAACAAUCCGUUACUGUUUAGUGGACCACCCAGUGUACAAAAAGGGGAACAGAGUUCCUACGUCACAUGUAGUUGACUCCCAUCCAUCUUCAAACCGCUUAUCCUGCACACAAGGUUUGGCCAAGAGACGUGGUCGCCAGCCAAUCACAAGGCUAACGGAAACAAACAACCAUUCACACUUACGGGACAUUUCAGCAAUACCAAUCAACCUGAUCCCCAGAGCAUGUCUUCAGACUGUGGAAGAAAGCCAGAUUACCCGGAGAGAACCCACAUAGACACAGGGAGAACAUGAAGACUCCACAUAGGAAGGCCACUGAGCGGAGUCGAACCCAUGACCUUCUUGCUAUGAGGUGACAAAACUAACCACCACAUUACCCUUACAGGUUUAUUCUCCUGAAAGGAAAAUACAUGAAUAUAUGUACAAAAACAUGAAUACAUCUGUAACAAAUCACAAUUUGUUUGAAACUGAAACUACAAUGUGCAAAGGCUCACCAAAAUUUCCCAAUCAACGAUAGUAAAAACAUUGCCUGGUCUGAUGAGUCUUGAUAAAUGAAUAAUAAUAAGUGGAAAACUAUAAGCCAUAGCUUCAUCCACUUCUACUCAGAACCUUCCAAAGACUUUUCCUUUAGCCAUUUAUAGUUAAUUUGUAUGGCCUUCCUUCGCAUUCAUUUCAUCCAUUCGAUUACCACCCCUUAUAGAAUUUGAGUACUUGAUGACUUGCCAGCUCCUCGAUCAUUUCAUACUCUACUUUUCCAGGAUGUCCACCAGUUUUUAUUUUUUUGUUGGGGACUUUAUCCCAGUAAUGACUCCAGUUUCCAUCACUGUCUGCUCCAAAACCAAACACAUGGACCUGGAAACCAUCGGUAAGCCAUUCAAUGAAUCUUGCUAAAUAACAUAAGAUUACGUUAUUUGUUCUUCAUCGAAAUUAGCUUCCACUUGUAAAUCAUCAGCGAGUAACAACAUUCACUCCAUUUAAAACUGAACUUACCUCGUCACAAAUGUGCAGGGCAAGAGCCAAAGCCAUGAAGCCAGUGGAGGCAUAAGCGCCCUUCUUUUGCAGCCACACUUGAUGAAUAUUCCUCAUAAAAGCUGGGUUAAGGACCAUUGCCUGUUGUGAAAUCAGAAUUAGUCUUUCAAUGUAUUUUAUCAACCAUUACCUCUGGAGCAUAUAACGUUUUUAUUGUUGAAUACAUAUAAAAUAAUACUCACCAAAUCCUUGUUGAAUAAGGAUUUUCUUGGCACGUGUGAAAAGAAGCAUGAAAUGUCAAACUCAAACAUCUAUUGAAUGUAUGUAAGUAAAGCAAAGAUAUAAUGAACGGAUAACAGUGACAUGUUAUGUGGCUCUGAAUGUUAUGGAUUUACUGUUCACCACAAAUGAAACACAACUCCUCCCUUAGUACCGCUGGUGGACUUUAGCAGGCUGGAACAUCAGCUUCAGAAGACAAACCGCAGCAUCUAGACUAGAACUGAAAUGAAAAACAUGACUCACUUUCCAGAAGGUUGUGUGCUGAGAACCUUCGUAAUCCAUUCAAGAUCUCUUAUUUUAAAUGUGAACAGGACCGGAUGAGUGGUGUUAUCUAACUGAGAAGCACUCUCUGGAUACAUGACAUGAUGAGUUGUUCUGUUCCCAACCUCUGACUGUUUCUGACUUGAAAAACAUCAUUCAUCUUUCUUUCAACUCAUUUACCUUAUGACGUAGUCCUGGAAAUCUAUGAGAGGAGGGAAACGAGAAUAGCAGUGUGAAUCUUCAAAGACGGGGGAAGCUAUGCUAUUAGCCUAUUGCUAACCUUGUUAAAGAAAAUCAAAUUGAAGUACUGCCACAUCUCGGAGCGACCUCUCUUUGCCAAAGGUUCCAUUGUAAAUUUGCGCUUUGCUACUACUACUACAACAACACUGACUUUGACUGUAUCAAAACCGCCAAGCCGAACCUUGGUUUUGUAUUCAGACAGGCAACUGAAUUGAAUUGACUACAUGAAUGGAUUCCGACAUCGGUUGUACGUGGCUGGGGAGAAGGCUAAGGAAGUGUUAGCUUCUGCACAGAUGAAAAUGAAGCGCCUUUAUGACCGAAAGGCUGAGCUCCACCAGUUCAGUCCUGGGCCUCAUUUAUAAAACCUUGCGUAGGAUUUGCGCCAGAAGUGGCGUACGGAUGAAACAUAGGACGUGCGUACGCACAGAAAUAUUCAGACUGUUCGCACGCACGUCCUACGCAGUUUUCCCUUAAUAAAUCACAAUCACUUCUAAAUGCAGCGCAGCUUUUGCUGCUUCAUGUCACGCCCAGAGUUGCCCAUAUAUAGUCUGUGGAAUGCCCACGAAUUAAUAUUCAUCGAUUGCGAAACCAUGGCAAACACUGAGACGAGAAAGAAACGUAAAUUCACUCAGUGUGAAGUCGAAAUGAUCAUUGGUGAGGUGGAAAGGAGGAGUAAAAUGCUUUUUGGAGGGCACAGUAUGGACAUUACUAAUGCCAAAAAGGCACUCGAGUGGCAAAAGGUUUGCAGAGGCCGUGAACGCUGCAGCCUCACAACCUCGGACCGUGGCCGAAAUAAAGAAAAAAUGGUCUGACAUUAAAGUGGAUGCAAAAAGCAUUGAGCGCGCCAUCGCCAAAGUGUGUCUGCCACAGGUGGGGGAAAGGGGACACCGAAGCUGUCCCCUCUUGAUGAGAGACUGGCAGCAAUGAUUGGGGAUCAGGUACAGGGGGCCAACAUCGGCUUCAGGAGGUCGAGGCACGUUUGGAAGUUGUGCCACAUUAUGUAGCACCGCACAUGCCAGCACGAUUUUGCACACCUUUUCAGGAGUAGACAAUAACCUCCCUCCAGUGCAGUCGAGGCAGCGCCAUCUGCCCUUAAACAGGCCGAUGGUGCGCUGCACUACAGCGCCAAUCCUUCCAUUUGCAUCUUCUAAGAGCACAAGAUCAGCCAUUUCUCAGUGUUACUUUAACACUGUUUUGUGAGUUAAUAAAGGAACUCUGGUAGAGUGUUAAAUGUUUAACUAUUUUGAAAGUGUUAACUCUGGAGAGUGUGGAGCUAUAUAAACUCUCAAAAAGUGUUGAAAUCAACUCUGUGGGAGUUAAUUCAACACUGGACUUUUUGCUGUGUACACUCGUGGGUCACAGCCUUUUGCAUCAGUGGGAAAUGGGCAACCGCAAGCUGGUAGACUGGUUUCCCCUGAUGAGAGUCUGUUGCGGGGUCAGUUAAAGAACUUUGUUUGGGCACUUGGCCAAGGAACAUUACACGGAGUUGUCUGCCCUUGUCAACAGCUACCCGUGUUGGUUUGGGGACCAACUCAAACACAUUUGAUGGAGCAUGACAUUGUCGUGGGUGGGGCACUGCGAAUCCGCCAGCGUUUUUAUAGGGUUUCACAACAGAAGCGCAGAGUAAUGGAAGAAGAAAUAGACUACAUGCUCAGAAAUAACAUUGCGAUACCUUCUUCAUCCAGCUGGGCAUCUCCCUGCCUGCUUGUCGAUGAAGCAGAUAAAAGUCCUAGGUUUUGUACAGAUUAUAGUAAGGUAAAUGCAGUUACUAAACAGGAUGCUUACCCACUGCUGCGGAUGGAGGAUUGUGUGGAUCAGGUGGGAUCUGCUCACUUUGUCAGUAAAUUUGAUUUACUCAAGGGUCAUUGGCAAGUCCCCCUGUCUGAGCGAGCUAGAAAAGUAUCUGCCUUUAUAACCCCUUUUGGACUUUUCUCUUACUCAGUGAUGAGUUUUGGGUUGCGGAAUGCACCAGCAACCUUUCAGCGUCUAAUGAACACGGUUGUGUCGGGACUGGAUCGGUGUGCGGUAUACCUUGAUGUAUGUGUAGUGAUCUACAGCAACACCUGGGAAGAACAUGUCUUCCGCAUAAGGAAGCUGUUUGAUCGACUGCGAGACGCCAGCCUGACUAUCAACCUGGCAAAGUGUGAGUUUGCAAAGGCUACUGUCACCUACCUUGGGAAGGUAGUGGGCAGGUAAGGCCGGUGCAGGCAAAAGUGUCUGCAAUUGAGCAGUAUCCAGUGCCCACCACCAAGAAAGAGCUUAUGCGCUUCUUGGGUCUGGAGGGUUAUUAUCGCAGUUUUUUUAGAAACUUUUCAACAGUAGUAGCCCUGCUGACAAAUCUGUUGAAGGUUAGAGAAAAGUACCUCUGGUCAGAUUUGUGUCAGCAAGCUUUUGUAAAUGUUAAGUUCUGUCCUGUAUUCACCUCCUGUUCUGGUGGCCCCUUGCAUGGAGCGUCCAUUUGAGUUGCAAGUGGAUGCAAGUGAUGUAGGAACCGGGGAUGUGCUCUUUCAGUAUAAUGAAAAUGGUGUUGAGCGCCCAGUGAGUUUUUUCUCAAAAAAAUGUAACUCUUACCAGUUGAAUUAUUCGGUCAUAGAGAAGGAGGCUCUUGGCCUUGUGUGGGCGCUGCAACAUUUUGAGGUCUAUGUUGACUCUGGGGUCCCUUUGGUGGUCUAUACAGACCAUAACCCAAUCACCUUUCUUCAUUCCUUGUGUUGCCUGAACCGCCGGUUGAUGCGAUGGUUCUUAUUCCUGCAAUCCUACUGGUUGGAAAUUCGCCACAUUAGUGGCUCAAAAAAUAUUGUUGCUGUUCUCUCUAGUUCACAGUUGUCCAUCUCCUUCUUUUCUGCUACUUCAAAGCUGCAUUUACAGGUACUCGCUUUCAGAGAGGAGAUUGGAGGGCAACUGUGAAGAUCAGUGCAGAUCUGUGAGUACCGUGAGAAGCUAUAGGCAAUGGGUAUUAUUAAAAGUGUAGUUUUGAAGGCUUGCAAAUACUGGAAAUAUUUUCAGGUUGUGUGGGGAUUCCUGAUGGGAACCCUAUUUUUAUGGGAGGUGGUGUGACGACCCUCCCACGUCCCAGGUGCUGCUUGGAGGGUCAUCAGCUGGAUGAGCCACACCUGAGCCGGCGUGGCUAGGCCAUAAAAGAUCCCAUUCAGACACCCCGGGGGGGGCUGAGAGGAAGACCUGGGGGGUAUUCCAGAAAGGAGGUUUAACAAACUCUAUCCCUGUCUAUCCUUGAACUCCGAGUUGACUUACUCUGAGAUGGGAAACUGAGUAUCUGGUUCCAGAACAUCUGAUCUGCAUUAGUUCAAUCAACUCGGAGUAUGUUCACCUUGAGUUAAGCGCGUGCAUGACGAUUAUAAAAAGCCAUCAUCAAUGAGCCCCGAUACUACGAGUCACCAUGACAACAGUAAAUAAAAGAGCAAGCUAUUUCACUGCGAUGGAGUUGGAGGUCCUUCUGCAGGCCUACGGAGAUCAUGAAGAUAUAUUUCGCCGCAAAUGCAAUACAGCUGCAGCAGCGAAGGAGAGAGAAACUGCGUGGGGAGUCAACGCGUAAGUUUGAAUGAACUGUUCCAUUGACAUAACAUUUAACCGUAAGAUCGUCGCAGCCUAUAGAUAUGAAUAUAAGUAGGAAUUAAAUCUGAUUUUCAUUUAGGUGCAAUCCAACGGGGGGAAAAAAGGACCUGGAAGCAGCUAAAAAUGAAAUAUAAAAACAUAGUUAAAAAAGGUAUGGCAUAUGCUAUGAUUGCACCUCACUUUAAUUUUAAUUCAUUUUCUUUAAUUAUUAUUAAUUAAUUAGUUAUUAUUAAUUAACUUUGGCUAUUAAACAAAGUAAAUAUUAAUUCAGUGGCUACUUGAAAUAGUAAAUCAAACUCCUAAUAAAAUGUUGUUUUUGCACGUCUUUUCAUUGAAAAUCCCACUUAGACGGACACAGUUUUGGUACCGUUAGAAGACUGGAGUAAUACUUGCUGGAAAUGGGCCUGUUAUAUAUAUAUAUAUAUAUAUAUAUAUAUAUAUUGUAAAUUGCAGGUAAUUUAGCCAAAAGCAUCACACUUACAUUACACUUUUAAACCCAUGGCUUUUUUCACAUUUUUGCCUGGGGAGCAAUUAGGGGUUAGGUGUCUUGCUCAGGGACAUUUCGACAUAGAACAUGGGGCAGCCUGGACUCGAACCACCAACCUUGUGCUUCCCAGCAGACCUUCUCUAACCCCUGCGCCACGACGAUAUAUCUGUAUAUAUAGGUGUGUGUGUGAAUAUAGAUAUAGAUAUAUAUAGAUAUAUAUAUAGAUAUAGAUAUAUAGAUAUAUAGAUAUAUAUAUAGAUAUAUAGAUAUAUAGAUAUCUAUCCUACUUUUUAUUUAAUAUAUAUCCACCCACCCAACAGUUGUAGGUGGUGUCAUCUGCACAGUUGUAAACCCUGCAGAUACUCAGAUCUUGCCUUAGAUGGUAGUUAAAAGUUUUCAGAAACAGUAACUUAAGUAACAGGAAGAUGAUGAUGAGGAGGAUGAAACGCUGUCUGCUUCCACUGGGAGAGAGUGUGUCUUAAUAUUAUCUACCGGCAGUGCUCUGCUCAUUCACAUUCUAGAGUGGAAUUUGGAGUUUGACAUGUAGACCGAAGUGAUGAGCAUAGAUAAUGGCUAACUAGUACAUUCUUGUCCUUGAACAGAACAUGGUUGGGCAUCACCAACCCACAGCACAGCUUGAAACCGUGAGAUUUUCGGUCAAUACCAUGUUAAAUCUGUAUGUGGAACUGUAGGAAUUAAAUGUCGUCCAUAUGUUUCCUAGUUACCAAUAAAGCGUUCUAACAGAAAUUCCUCUGGAAAUGAUAAAACGUCUAAUCUGGGUCGGAAGACUCUCCCGCGACGUGAAGCAUUUCGAAUCACUAAGGCUUCGAUGUCAAUUGCAUUUGGUAGAAAAGGGCAAUCCAUGUCUACCAGCUUUCUUCAUGUGGGAGGAGAUGAUAAAAACUCUGGGUUUCUUAUAGUAAACCUGCCAUCGAGCAGGUUAUGUUCAGUCUGUUAUCAUGGUGAUUGACUCAGAGUUUGUUACCUCUCUAUCUGGAACGGAUAACUCAGAGUUUCCCUGAUCGCAGGGUUAACUUACUCUGAGUUUUCACAUAACCCGCUUUCUGGAAUACCCCCCCUGCUCAUACACCAGGGGCCUGUUUCAGAAAGGAGGUUAAGUGAAAACUCUGAGUAUGUUAACCCUGAAAUGAGGGAAACUCUGAGUUUUCUGUUUCAGAAUGGGAGGUACGUUAAACCUGAGAAAGCAGAGUAAGUCAAGCCUGUUUCAGAAAGAGAGGUAACUUAUACUCAGAGUCAGUUACCAUGGCAACUUACUCUGUGAACCUAACCUGGUCGGGAGCAGGUUUUCUUCGGGAAACCCAGAGUUUAUUUCGUCUCCUCCCCUUUUUUUAAGAGGAAGUGGUAUUUAAUCACCUCAUUCAUUCUUUCGGUAUUCAUUCAUUGCGCACAUUUCAGUCACGCAGAGCGCAUCAAAUCGACACUGGAUGCUAUUUAGUUAUUUAUAUGUCAAAUGUUUGUAAAGUCAGGUAGACUACAACCAUGAU
ensembl:lncRNA